UACGUAGGGUCCGAGCGUUGUCCGGAAUUACUGGGCGUAAAGCGUGCGCAGGCGGCCCGCGAGGUGUCACGUGAAAGCCCCGGGCUCAACCCGGGAGGGUCGUGGCAAACCGGCGGGCUUGAGGCCGGUAGAGGUGGGUGGAACUCCUGGUGGAGUGGUGAAAUGCGUAGAGAUCAGGAAGAACACCAGUGGCGAAGGCGGCUCACUGGCCCGGAACUGACGCUGAGGUGCGAAAGCGUGGGGAGCAAACAGG
rnacentral:rRNA from 1 species